rnacentral:lncRNA from 13 species
AGGAGUAGGGGGGUAAAGGAUGGAUGGUGACUAGAUGAAGACCAGUCAUCAGGACAUUAAGGAGUAGGGGGGUAAAGGAUGGUGACUAGAUGAAGACCAGUCAUCAGGACAUUAAGGAGUAGGGGGGUAAAGGAUGGUGACUAGAUGUAGACCAGUCAUCAGGACAUUAAGGAGUAGGGGGGGUAAAGGAUGGAUGGUGACUAGAUGAAGACCAGUCAUCAGGACAUUA